GACGAACGCUGGCGGCGUGCUUAACACAUGCAAGUCGAACGGAAAGGCCCUGCUUUUGUGGGGUGCUCGAGUGGCGAACGGGUGAGUAACACGUGAGUAACCUGCCCUUGACUUUGGGAUAACUUCAGGAAACUGGGGCUAAUACCGGAUAGGAGCUCCUGCUGCAUGGUGGGGGUUGGAAAGUUUCGGCGGUUGGGGAUGGGCUCGCGGCAUAUCAGCUUGUUGGUGGGGUAGUGGCUUACCAAGGCUUUGACGGGUAGCCGGCCUGAGAGGGUGACCGGCCACAUUGGGACUGAGAUACGGCCCAGACUCCUACGGGAGGCAGCAGUGGGGAAUAUUGCACAAUGGGCGGAAGCCUGAUGCAGCAACGCCGCGUGCGGGAUGACGGCCUUCGGGUUGUAAACCGCUUUCGCCUGUGACGAAGCGUGAGUGACGGUAAUGGGUAAAGAAGCACCGGCUAACUACGUG
rnacentral:rRNA from 1 species